CUGGACCUAGUGGCUUGCUUCUGACAAACAGAAUACAGCAAAAGCAAUUGGAUGUCACUUCUGGGACUAGGUUACAGAAGGACUGUAUCUUUCAUGCUGAGUGCUCUUGUCUGCUCUGAGGGAAGCCGGCUGCCAUUUUGUGAGCUGCCCAUGGGGAGACCCACGUGGCAGGGUACUGAGGGUGACCUCCAGCAAGCAGUCAGCAAGAAAGUGAGGCCUCCAGUCACACGGCCUCUGAGGAACUGAAUCCAGCCAACAACCUCGUGAGUGAGCGUGGAAGUGGAUGCUCCUCCCUAGGGAGCCUGGUGGCCUGGCCAUCGGUUCAACCAUAGCCUCAUUCUAGACCUGGAACCGGAGGCACCCAACUAAGCCCCCACCUGGAUGCCUGAUCCCAGAGACUGUAUUGGCAGCCAUCCAAAGAACAUUCCCCUGAUGUUCCUGCUGGGGUAGAAGGUACUCUGCUGCCAGAACCUUCUCCACCUAGGACCACCAGGACCCAGGAAAGAAUGCUCCUUCCAGGAAAUAGGACCACAGCUCAUCAGGAAAGUACAUCUUGCACUAAUCCCAGCCUGCCCCUUUCGUUCCCAUCAGGCAUCUUAUUCGUAUAUUUACCUUUAAAUAUUAUAGUUUUUAUAAAUAAUU